ensembl:lncRNA
CAGGAGUGGGGCUGUCAGAGUCACUGAAAGUGAAGCACAAUUCAACAUAAAUAAGCAGCCUUGAGAACCAUCAGCAGAAUAUUAAAUCAAAAUACUGAUUUAUUCUGUAUUAACUGCCCUGUGGUUUCAGCUCCAGCCAAGAAAGGCCUCUGAACUCUCUGUGUGCAGAGAUUUUGCCUUUGGUGGGUAUUAUAAUAAUGGAAUCAUGGAAUGAUUUGGGUUGAAAAGGACCUAAAAGCCCAUCUCAUUCUACACCUGCCAUGGGCAGGACACCCUUCACUGUCCCGGGCAGGACAAGCUGGCCUCGGGCACCUCCCGGGCUGGGGCAGCCUGUGCCAGCCUGCCAGCACUGUCCCAGGGAGGAAUUUCUUCCUCACUUCUUCCAGUGUAAAACUAUUGUCUUGUCCUAUCGCUAUCUGCCUGUGUAAAAAGUCACUCUCCAUCCUUUCACCAGCCGCCUUUAGGCCCUGAAGGGGCUGUGGGCUUUCCCUGGAGCUUUCUCUUCUCCCGGUGAAGGCCCCCAGCGCUCCCAGCCCGGCUGCAGAGCGGGGAGCUCCAGUCCCCGGAGCAUCUCCGGGACUCCCUUCGCACCAGCAGCUCCAAAACCAACCCCCACCGGCUCGGGCCGUUCCCGAGCGGCACGGGAGCUGUUCUCUGCCGGUCCCGAGCCCCACAGCGCCGGGCUCCGCUGCCGGCACUUCUCCUCCCGUUCCCCAGCUCCGCUCCCGGCGCUUCCCGGAGGAUCCCGGGCGCCGCUGCAGUCCCGGCUCCCGCCGCACGAGGGCGCUGUCCCCGGCGGGCCGUGCCCUGCUCGGCGCUCCGGCCCGCGGCUGCUCUCGGUGCUUUCCCGGGCCCGCUCCCGGUCCCCGCUUCCGCUCCCCGCUUCUGGCCGCGUGGCGCUGAGAGAGGCUCGGGGACAUGGCGGGCACGGGGUGAUUUCCUGCGGGGGCUCAGCCCCAGAGAAGCCACAGCUCCAGAUGGUGACAUGGAUGAGACUCGGUGCUUCCAUUCCUGAGGUGAGGGCGCACCAGGUGAGUCGUGGGAGCUCCGGGUGCUCCUCCUGGGCAGGGGUACGGGGUCUGUGGGCUGGGGAACGGCUGCUGGGUGCUGCCAGCCAGCCUCACCCGCGCCCAAGAGCAGCUCCCAGGUGGGCUCCGUGCUGGGCCUCACCUGUGCAGUAACAGGUGUGAACAUUCAUGAAGCAUUUUGAUGGUCAUGUAUGAUACUGCAUACAACAGCUGCACCACUAAUCCAAGGAAAAACAGGGUUGGGGUUUUUUAACGUAUGCAUGUCUUUUGAAAAUAUCUUGCAAAAUCAAACUGGUGCUCUUUCAGGUAUGGAAAUGAGAACCUGGGUGCUUGAUUUAUCACUAGAUACUGUUUGAGUUGCAACUUUGUUCCCCACGUAGUAGGGAAUAGUGAUAAAGUGGUUUCUGCACUUGAGCAGAUGGAAAGCUUUGCUGGAAGUUGUGUACUUUGCUCUCUUGUUACAUAUUUGGUUUCUCUCCUGCAGCAGGGGGUUCACCUGGGGGCAGACUCUGCCCUGGCAAGUGUGGGAAGGGAGGGGGGAAGGCCGGUGCUGGGAACCACAGGGUGGCACCACAGUGAUCUUGGCUCCUGGCAAAAAUCCCUGGCCAAAAUAACAAGUCCUUUACCCGUUUGUUAUUGCUGUGGGAUGGGUGAUCUGGCUCUGGUGUGCUUUUGGAAGUGCUUGUGGUAGAGAUGCUUUUGGGAAGGAUUUUAGGGAGAGCUGGGGUGGGAUGGUGCUUCAGUUAACACUGAUCAAGAGGAGAUGGGUCUGUGUAGGACAGGGGCUCUGGCUUCAGCUGCAUUCCUGGCUGAACAUCCUGGUUAUUUAUUUUCAGGUGGCUGGACUGAGAGGUGAUUCUGCAGGAUGGUGAGAGCUGCUCUUGCAGUUUGGUUAUACCUGUGUGGUCUUUUUGGGUUAUCACAGAAUCAUAGAAGGGUUUGAGCUGGAAAGGACCAUAAAGACCAUCUCCUUCCACCCCCUGCCAUGGGCAGGGACACCUCCCACUAGCCCAGGUUGCCCCAAGCCCUGUCCAGCCUGGCCUUGAACAUGUCCAUAGGGUAGCCACAGCUUGUCUGGGCAACCUCUGCUAGGGCCUCCCCACCGUCAUUAAUUCCCUAAUACCCCACCUAACCCCUCCCUGUGCCUGUUGAAACCAUUCCCCCUUGUCCUGGCACUCCAUGCUCUUGUAAAGUCCCCCUCCAGUUUUCCUGUAGGUUAUAGAAAGCAGUUGUGCCUAAAUGGAUGGUGAACAUGAAUAAAAUCCAUUUUUCAAAGUUGACUUGCUUUUUU